GUUAUAUGGUCAAGUGAAGAAGCGCAUACGGUGGAUGCUUGGCAGUCAGAGGCGAUGAAAGACGUGGUAGCCUGCGAAAAGCUUCGGGGAGUCGGCAAACAGACUUUGAUCCGGAGAUGUCUGAAUGGGGGAACCCAGCCAUCAUAAGAUGGUUAUCUUACGCU
rnacentral:rRNA from 1 species